GCUGGCGGUAGGCUUAACACAUGCAAGUCGUGCGAGAAAGUAUCUUCGGAUAUGAGUAGAGCGGCGGACGGGUGAGUAACGCGUAGGAAUCUACCUAGUAGAAGGGGAUAGCCCGGGGAAACUCGGAUUAAUACCGUAUACCUCCUUCGGGAGAAAGAAGGCCUCUCUUUGAAGCUUUCGCUACUAGAUGAGCCUGCGUAAGAUUAGCUUGUUGGUGAGGUAAAGGCUCACCAAGGCGACGAUCUUUAGCGGGUCUGAGAGGACGAUCCGCCACAUUGGGACUGAGACACGGCCCAGACUCCUACGGGAGGCAGCAGUGGGGAAUAUUGGACAAUGGGCGCAAGCCUGAUCCAGCCAUACCGCGUGUGUGAAGAAGGCCCUAGGGUUGUAAAGCACUUUAAGUUGGGAAGAAAAGCUAUUGGUUAAUACCCAAUAGCCGUGACAUUACCAUCAGAAUAAGGACCGGCUAAUUCCGUGCCAGCAGCCGCGGUAAUACGGAAGGUCCAAGCGUUAAUCGGAAUUACUGGGCGUAAAGCGCGCGUAGGUGGUUUAUUAAGU
rnacentral:rRNA from 1 species